UGUGUUGCAGUGAUGAAGCAAAUUAAAUUGUGGACUAGAGUUUCUGAUCUUUGUAGUUGAAGACUAACCCUUGGCUGUCUGAGCGCACC
rnacentral:snoRNA from 1 species